ACAUGCUUACAACAUAGUGUUAAUACACCAGAUCCCAUUAGAAAUCCAUAGUUAAGCAUGCUCAGGCUAGAGUAGUACUGGGAUGGGUGACCACUCGGGGAGUCUGAUCCGGAUUAUUUU
rfam:Picea glauca, whole genome shotgun sequence.